rnacentral:rRNA from 1 species
AUAAAUUUCUCUUUGCUAGAUGGUGUAAUGUUUACUAUGGUGAUUUUCAUACAUGCGAGAGAUGUCAAUUUUUAUCCUAAUGUCUGUAUUGCUUAUAUCUUAUUCACAGUGCAUAUAACGGUGACAUUGGUUGAAAGAAGCUUUACAAACAUACAAUUAUUGAAGAACUAUUUGAGAUCAACAAUGACCCUAGAGAGCUUAAAUGGUUUGGCAAAAUUAUGCAUCAAGAAAUUAUUUGAUGAGAUUGACAUCAACCCCAUCAUAAGUGGCUUUGCAUCGAGGAAUUUUAGAAUUUUUUAA